GAAACAUGGCACCAACAUCUGCAUCUGGUGUGGACCUCAGGCUACUUCCAUUCAUGGCGGAAGGUGAAAGGGAGCUGGUGUUGCGGAGAUCACAUAGAAAGAGAGGAGGAAAGAGAGAGAGGGAUAAGAAGAUCAAACUCUCCCAAAAAGUAGAGAUUAAACAACAACUAAAGAUGGCGAAUCAUAGAAGUUACCACCAUUCCUGGUAUUGGUCCCAGUUCUUCUAAGAAUAUUUUUGAUGCAAGAGCUGUUUUAUCUUGAAUCCUACAUAGCUUAUUUUCCAUUUUUCCAUUCAAAUAAAACAACAAGAGAACAAUAGAGUGAAGAAAAAGGAUGUUUAAGCCUAAAUCCAAGACUGAGGUACAAGACCAAGAAAAGUGGGGCAGAAGAUGGAAAAGAACAAGUGAAGAAUCUUGGAAACAAUUCAAAGGCCAACCCUGCUUAUUCCUGUAAACCAACCAGUGAUCUCUGGCUGCUGCUUAGAAGAAACAAGAGGGAUGGCUAAUUAAACAGGUUGAAGUAAAGGAGCCAGCCCAAACCCACCAAAACCAAAAUGGUGACGAGAGUGACAUCUGGUCGUCCUCACUGCUACACUCCCACCAGCACCACGACAGUUUACAAAUUCUAUGACAAUGUCAGGAAGUUACCCUAUGUGGUCUAAAAAGAGGAGGCAUGAAUAAUCCACCCCUUGUUUAGCAUAUCAUCAAGAAAUAACCAUAAAAAUAGGCAAUCUGCAGCCCCCAGGCUGCUCUGUCUAUGGAGUAGCUGUUCUUUUUUUCUUUUACUUUCUUAAUAAACUUCCUUUCACUUUGCACUGCAGACUCGCCCUGAAUUCUUUCUUGCAUGAGAUCCAAGAACCCUCUCUUGGGGUCUGAAUUCAGACCCUUGUCAUGUAACAACCAGAGCACCCCCGGGUUUAUAUUUAGUGAUCCUUUCAUUCCCUCAUACAAAUGCUCAUUAUGUAACAAGUCAGAAACAGCUUUUCUAGUCUUUUAUAUGUGGUAUAAUCAUUAUGACUUAAAUACACAAUGUGGGUGUCAUAAGGCAGAAUUUUGUAGGUGUUUUAACAGAUACAUAAAAGGGAGAAGUAAAUUUGGACUAGGAAAAUCCAGAUAAGCUCCAUGAAGAAGACUGCUGGAGAGUUAAGCUUUGAAGGAUGAGUGAGGGUGUAAGAAGCAGACAUAGGAGACAGGACAUUCCAGGUAUUGGAGGGUCCCAAUGCCAUGUGAAGUAUGGGAAAGGGACUAUUAAAUGUGUUGGAUACUUCAAAAUAAUGUUACAUCUUCAUAGCUAUGUUAUAUUCUCUUGACGUGUGUUGCAAGUUGCUGGAAUAUUUUACUGACACCCUGUAGCUAAGAUUUUUUUCCAGACUCAAAGAUAACUAGUGGGCUGGCCAGUGGUCUAGGAAAUAAUCAGGCAGGUGAUUUCAGCAUAAUGAGUUAAGUGGAUACAGCCCCUGGCUGAGGGCUAUUCUUAUGUGACACUGGCAGAGUUUCAGAACUACUUAGGUGGGCUUAAGCAUUUAUUUAUUAUCUUUUAUGUUCUAGGCACUAUUGUAGGCAGUGGAAAUGUGGCAAUAGACAAGCUGUGGCUCUGCUUUCCUGGCGGUAACAUUCCAAUACAUAAGAGGGACACUAAAAAGGUAAAUAAAAAAUACACUGAUUUUAGCUGAUCUCAUUUCACAGAGGUCAGCGCACUCUCCCCUCUCUGAGAGUGUUACUAUGCUUAAUAAACUUUUGCUGCUUUGCUGAAAAAAAAAAGUGAAUACAUUGAUUUCAAGGUAACUCACGUUGUUUCAUGAUAUAUAAAAAAUAAAAACAGGUUGUUGUGAUAAGGGAAGUGAUGGAUGGAAAUGCCCCUCCAGGGAACAACUUUUUAGUAAGAUCUAAAUAAUAGGAAGACACGUGAAAAGAAGCCAGUAGGCAGAAAUCAUGAGGAAGCAAAACUAGGCAAUCAGAAACAGAAGAGAGGUAAAAACAGGUGGAGAGAAGACACAGAGAACUCAACUAACCAGAAGGGCUGUUGGGUUUCCAGAACUAUUGCUUGAAUUUUGACUUCUAGGGUCCCUGUUGGCUCCUGAAUAGAUGCAUAAGUAGAUGCAUAUGCUCCAUUUUCCAUCUUUAUUCUGUUAUAAUAUAUUCCUAUCUAUCUAACAUCUAAUGAUCUAUUGAUCUAACUGUCCAUCCAUCCAAUCAUUUUCAUAUUGUGGGACAGUUAGGUUGCUGCCAGUUUUUAGCAACACAAGGAGCAAGACAGCAGUGAACAUUCUUGUACACACUUUAUCAAGUACAUGGUAUGGGAUUUUUGCAUGUACCUGGAAUUGAAACUGCUGGGUGGUAAAGGAUGUCUACCUUUAACUUGAUAAAAACCUGCAAAAUUGUUUUCCAAAGUUUUUACAAAUAAAUUUACUUCUCCACAAGAAAUGUACACUUGGCAUUAUCAGACUUCAAAAUUUUUUCCAAUCUAAUGGUGUGAAAUGG
rnacentral:lncRNA from 1 species